GACAGAGGCCUCAAGCGUUAGGCGGAAUCACUGGGCUUAAAGCGUGUGUAGGCGGAUCGUUAAGUGUCUUGUGAAAUCCCACGGCUCACCCGUCGGAACUGCUGGGCAUACUGGCGAUCUUGGGCCAACUAGGGGCAACUGGAACAAGCGGUGGAGCGGUGAAAUGCGUAGAUAUCGCUUGGAACGCCGAAGGUGAAAACAGGUUGCUGGGGUUGUGCCGACGCUGAGACACGAAAGCCAGGGGAGCAAACGGG
rnacentral:rRNA from 1 species